rnacentral:rRNA from 1 species
GUGCCAGCAGCCGCGGUAAUACGUAGGGUGCGAGCCGUUAAUCGGAAUUACUGGGCGUAAAGCGGGCGCCAGACGGUUACUUAAGCAGGAUGUGAAAUCCCCGGGCUCAACCUGGGAACUGCGUUCUGAACUGGGUGACUAGAGUGUGUCAGAGGGAGGUAGAAUUCCACGUGUAGCAGUGAAAUGCGUAGAGAUGUGGAGGAAUACCGAUGGCGAAGGCAGCCUCCUGGGAUAACACUGACGUUCAUGCCCGAAAGCGUGGGUAGCAAACAGGAUUAGAUACCCUGGUAGUCC